rnacentral:rRNA from 1 species
GGUUAAGCUAGUAAGAGCGCACGGAGGAUGCCUAGGCACCAGGAGCCGAAGAAGGACGUGGCGAACAACGAUACCGCCUCGGGGAGCCGUAAGCAGGCUUUGAUCCGGGGAUUUCCGAAUGGGGAAACCCAGCUGGGGUAAUGCCCAGUUACUCUCAACUGAAUACAUAGGUUGGGUAGAGGCAUACCGGGGGAACUGAAACAUCUAAGUACCCCGAGGAAGAGAAAACAAAAGUGAUUCCGUCAGUAGCGGCGAGCGAACGCGGAUUAGCCCAAACCAAGAGGCUUGCCUCUUGGGGUUGUAGGACGUCUCACAUGGAGUUACAAAGGUGUUGGUUAGGCGAAGAGGUCUGGAAAGGCCCGCUAGAAGAGGUAAAAGCCCUGUAACCAAAAGCCAGCACCCUCCGAGACGGAUCCUGAGUACGGCGGGACACGUGAAACCCCGUCGGAAUCCGGCAGGACCAUCUGCCAAGGCUAAAUACUCCCUGGUGACCGAUAGUGAAGCAGUACCGUGAGGGAAAGGUGAAAAGCACCGCGGGAGCGGAGUGAAAAAGAACCUGAAACCGUGCGCUUACAAGAAGUCAGAGCCCUCUAUAUGGGUGAUGGCGUGCCUUUUGUAGAAUGAACCGGCGAGUUACGAUCACGUGCAAGGUUAAGUUGAAGAGACGGAGCCGCAGCGAAAGCGAGUCUGAAUAGGGCGCCAUAGUACGUGGUCGUAGACCCGAAACCGUGUGAUCUACCCCUGUCCAGGGUGAAGGUGCGGUAACACGCACUGGAGGCCCGAACCCACGAAUGUUGAAAAAUUCGGGGAUGAGGUGGGGGUAGCGGAGAAAUUCCAAUCGAACUCGGAGAUAGCUGGUUCUCCCCGAAAUAGCUUUAGGGCUAGCCUCGGUUAUGAGUGUCGUGGAGGUAGAGCACUGAUUGGGUGCGGGGCCCGCCAAGGGUUACCAAGUCUAGUCAAACUCCGAAUGCCAUCGACAUGCUUACCGGGAGUCAGACAGUGAGUGCUAAGAUCCAUUGUCAAGAGGGAAACAGCCCAGAUCAUCAGCUAAGGUCCCCAAGUGUGUGUUAAGUGGGAAAGGAUGUGGAGUUGCAAAGACAACCAGGAUGUUGGCUUAGAAGCAGCCACCAUUUAAAGAGUGCGUAAUAGCUCACUGGUCGAGUGACUCUGCGCCGAAAAUGUAACGGGGCUAAA